rnacentral:misc_RNA from 1 species
GAUGAAGAACGCCAGCGAAAUGCGAUAAGUAAUGUGAAUUGCAGAAUUCAGUGAAUCAUCGAAUCUUUGAACGCACAUUGCGCCCGCCAGUAUUCUGGCGGGCAUGCCUGUCUGAGCGUCAUUUCAACCCUCAUGCCCCUAGGGCGUGGUGUUGGGGAUCGGCCAAAGCCCGCGAGGGACGGCCGGCCCCUAAAUCUAGUGGCGGACCCGUCGUGGCCUCCUCUGCGAAGUAGUGAUAUUCCGCAUCGGAGAGCGAUGAGCCCCUGCCGUUAAACCCCCAACUUUCCAAGGUUGACCUCAGAUCAGGUAGGAAUACCCGCUGAACUUAAGCAUAUCAAUAAGCGGAGGA